rnacentral:tRNA from 1 species
GUGAUUGUAGUUCAGUUGGUAGAACACAGGUUUGUGGAUCCUGGAGUCGCGGGUUCAAGUCCCGUCAGUCACCCCA